AAUUGGCCUCCUCCUGUUUCAAUUCAGUUGUGUUGCUGUGCUGCCAUGGAGACAGUCGUGAUGUCACAAGCUGUGGCAUCACUCAGAAGUGGCUGGAAGGCAGUUGUUCAUACUCCCCCUCACCUGACCCACCCCAGUAAUCAAUAGCUGGGAGCAGAAAACAGAGCAGUUCAAUAGGUUUCAGUGAAGACUGAAAGCUUUUAAAUGAACCUGAAUUACAGCUGUGAUUUUAAGGCUCCUACUCCACUACUGAUGUGAGAAAUGAUGUAGUAUACCCAUUUACUACUGCAGUGGGCAGACAGAUGCUGUUUAGGAAAGGAGCUAAAAGCUCACCUACAAACUGUGCAUAGUUUGUAAGUUUUGCUGUAUUUUAGCAUGUUUUCCAUUUUCAGUGUGUGUAGAAAACUGCCUCAUCUAUGGGAAGGGGAAGAUGAAGUUUCCCUUAAUACACCGAAACAGCUAAUUCCCAAGUAUUUGGAUUUCCAUUAAAGGCUAUGAAUAGAUUGCUUCCUGGAAGGAAACUAGUUCUGUCCUUAGUCAUGGGCUUGUCUAAACAGUUAGCCCCAUCAAAUUCCUUCAAUACAUGAGCAAGUUGCUGUGGUUUAUUCUUUCAGGAUAAGACUUCGUGGAGUUCCUUAUCUCCUGAAUUUGUGCCCUAGAAGGUUAACUGGGGAGAAUUCUGUGGAUGAGUCUGUGAUCAGAUGGCCUCGGUUGCUCUGUUCUUAGGCCAGUGAUGACUUUUGGCAGUGCCAUCAGUGCCAUCAGAUAACCUGACCACUAUACCAUGUCCACUGCUGGACUCUGAAUAACACAGGAUGUCCUGUGAGUCUGUCAGCAGGUGCUGUGUAGACUGCUCAUGUACCUGUCUUUCAAAAAUGUGAAGAACCUAACUGAAUUAAUGGCCCUGUGUUGGGGAGCCUGGAAGCUCUUCUCCUUUCCCUGUUGCUUCUGGCAGGUAUCUUGUGCAGAAUCUGCAGGUUUCUUGAACCCCUUAGGUGGGCUCAGCUGGCCUCUGAAAAAGGAAAAGAAGGAAAAGCUGAGGUGCUAACCAAGGUAGAGUGAGUGUUUGAGGAUCAGAACAGAAACAUAAAACCUAAUAUUAUAUAAAUUAAUGUGGUGGUCUGCUGAGUUCUCUGAAAUUCAGACCUGUCACUCAAGCAAGUUUUAAAAGCCAUUUUUGUAGAAGGUGGUCACCUAUCCACCUACAGUGCUGAGGAGUGUCCAGACUUAAAGGGAAGAGUGAGUGGGCACUGACAAUUUUUGUAGAAUAAUUCUGCAAAAUAUAUUUAAAGGGAAGUGGCAUUCCUGUCUGAAAGAUAAAUUGAAAAUUGCUACAAGUCUGUCUGGACAUUUUUCCAGCACUGAAGUUUUGGGCAUUCUUGCAGCAGGAGCUAGUUCAGGGUUGUGACACUGAGUGCUUGUUCAGAUGGUAAGUCAGCAAAUUGCCUGGUACAAGCCACGACCUGGAGAGAAAAUCACGUUGUUGUUGUUGUUGUUGUUGUGUGUGAUCUCUGAUAAAGGCUGUGAAACCAGAGCAGCCGGAUCCUGUUGCAGCCAUGGCUGUGUGUACCUGUGUACAGGUAACAGCUCCUGCAAGCUUCACCCAGAGAUGGAGGUUAACAAAUACAGAUUUGUGCUCAAAGCACAUAUAUAGAGAAGAGAUGCUGCAGAGCUGGCAAGUGCUCUUAAGCAGAUGACUAAAGGUGAGGUUACUUAAUGUCUGGAAGCCUUAGGUUCUCGCCUGGCUAAGCUGCCAUGCUUCAGAAUUACAGAGUAGGACGUUUUUGUUGUUGUUGCUGUCUCUCUUCAUCUCUUGGUAACUGCUGGUCAGAGAGUGACAAAAGACAAGAGUCAUUCCUGCUGCUGUGAAGAGAAAUGCAUUUGCUUGGUCUUGUUCAUGCUUUUCUAACCCCUCAGCAGAAGGAAAAUACCUGAGUGAGCCAAGGUCUGCCUGCGCUCUUUACGCUCACUCUGAGCGCACUGUGUGCUGAUGUGGUGCCACAUGUGGGGCAAGCACAGAGUGGACAAGGGUGGCACUUGGCUGCUUUCAGUCUUAAAGAUCUCCUUGUCUAGCCAAUGACACACUUCAGGACUGUGAAUCACUUCUGUGUCAAUAUUUGCAUAUUUUAGGCAGACUUGGUGUGCAGUGGGUUGUGCAACACUGUGAGAAACUUUAAAGCUCGGAGGGAAGCACAGCUGGUGGUGCUGUCAGGCAUCGCUUGGUCUGUGCUCCUGAAAGCUGAGCUGACAAUUUAACUGUGUUAAGGCUGGCUGGUGCUUAAUCCUGUUUGCAGGAUUGCAAGAAACUCAGGACUAGCUGGUAAACUUGAAAGCCUGUACACCUGGCCCUAGAGGCUGUGGGAGGUGUCCCUGCCCAUGGCAGGGGUUGGAACUGGAUGGUCUUUAAGGUCCCUUCCAAACUAAAUCGUUGUGUAACUUCCAGCACUGUGUCCCUGGAAGCCGUAACUUAAGCCCAUGACCAGGUUUUCCAAGUCCUUUGAGGUUUUCAUGGAGAGUGAAUGUUUUCAGGAGGAAGCUGGUCUGUGCUGGUUUAGGAGAUCCCUGUGUGUGCUGUGCUGUGACAUGGGCACACCUAUGGUCAUAUAUUCUGCAUGUUGUCUCCGUGCAGUUGGCUUCAGGUUACCAACUGUCUGUCUUAUUUGAAAGGUCAAUGGCUGCUCUUCAGUUGGCUUCUUGUACUGAAGUUCUUCAAGCCUGUCCAUCUGUGCCACAGCUGAUUCCUGCCAAACCUGGCCCUGCCCUUGGAAUGUGGUGCUUAUGGCUGCCUUGAUUUGGAGUUUGCCUUAUGUAAUGCGUCGAGGUCCAGUGAACAGGCUUGGAAGGUUGCCAGGGAAGUCUCUCUUGCUCGGAAGCACUGACUGCAGCUCUGAACUCCAUGUGCAAAUCCUUUGGUUGCUGCUUUCCUGCAUUUCUUAUGUACUGAACAUCAGAGUUGGGGUUUCCAUGUAGCUACAGUCAGAAGUCUGGGAAGGAAGUAGUCCAGCAGUGUCUGUUGAAGGGGGAACUCUGCAUGUUCUGCAGUAGAACUUGCGCAUAUGGGAACUCUAGUCUCUCUGCACAGUUUCUGCAUGUUCAGUAUCUAAAAAUUAAAGUUCCUUUUUCCUCUUACAGGUGAGAUUUAUGAACAAAUUUCUUAGCUGUCUGUAUGGUGAAGUCGCAUUGAUAAAACAUGCAAAUAAAUUUAUGUAAUCGGGA